GAAUGUGAGAGUGACAUCUGUCACCCCAUUAAUUGUCAGUAUUGAUUCUACUGGUCUGGAUAGCUAGGCAGUUGUCUCCCUUCUUCCCUCACAGCUCCAUGAGCAUCCUUCCUGAAGCUGCCUGCUGACUCAGGGAGGAUGACCUUCCCAGAUUGAGGAAGAACAUCUUUCCAUCUUUCCAUCUGCUAGUGUCUCUAAAUAAACUCUCAUUUUGUUAAAACAGGCACCAUGGUCGCUCGGAGGAUCUACUGUUUCCAUAAAACUAAUUGAAUAACUGUUCAACUCCAUAUUUCUCCACCUUUGAUGGGU
rfam:Mesocricetus auratus contig041225, whole genome shotgun sequence.